GUGAGGGGGGGCCGUGAGGCGCUGCCGCCUCAGGGGAGCAGAGCGCGGGCGGGAGCGAGCCUCGAACCGGCAGCGGCGCUGCCUGCGCUGCGGGUGCCUUCUGUGACGCCGCACGCGUGACUAAUAUUUAAGGAGGGAGAGAAAAUUCUCGGCUUGUAACGCCGGCCCUGCCUCCGGGAGCCCUCCCGCGCCGAGGCGCUGGGGGAACCCGAAGCUCCUUCAUCAUUCCCCGCGGUAGCGAGGCCGAGGUGGCCUCCGAGAAGCUGGGCGGAUGAAGCCUCACCGGCUCCGCGUUGGCCUCUCCCGCCGUGCUUCCUGCUGCCUUUAAUGACGUUUGUACAGGUUUAGCUGUCUGUGAGAUUUCUGCCCCUCUCAGUUGGAAUAACCCGCCCAGAAGUCACCGCAGACAGCCGGGUAGGCCGGGCAGUCUCAUCCGACUCGCUUUCUUGAGACUGGAAACAGGAAUAGCAUCUUGCGGCAGCUCUUUAAAAAACACUUUUUCUUUUCCAAAGGACAAAGAGAUCCGGUACCUAGCACGUCUUCAGCUGGCACAAGGCAAGAACAAAAAUCCUAGAGCGUUCAGUUACAAGUAAACCAAAGCUGGCAGCACAACCCUGCCCAACCAGGAAGGUGAGAUCCAGUAAGCACAACUGCAAGAGCAGAGAGCACACGGACAAGUGAGCUGGUCCAGGUAUGAAGCAACAUAGAUUGGAAUCGACAUACUUCAUGAAAGUCAUAUUUAACAGAGAGAGUCUCGUUUCUACAGCAGCAAGGAUGUCUGCAUGACGAGCUAAUGAAUGGUUUCUUCUUUCUGACUCCCGUCUAGAAGACAGACCAUUAAGUAACACUGAUUUAACAGUGAGUCAACAAAAUGAAACUGUAACAAUCAGCUCUGAGGUUUGAAAAUGU